GUCCACGCCGUAAACGAUGGAUGCUAGCCGUCGGCAAGCUUGCUUGUCGGUGGCGCAGCUAACGCAUUAAGCAUCCCGCCUGGGAGUACGGCCGCAAGGUUAAACUCAAAGGAAUUGACGGGGCCCGCACAAGCGGUGGAGCAUGUGGUUAAUUCGACGCAACGCGAAGAACCUUACCAAGCCUUGACAUGUCCGGUCGGUUUCCAGAAAAUGGAUUCCUCCUAGCAAUAGGUCGGAACACAGGUGCUGCAUGGCUGUCGU
rnacentral:rRNA from 1 species